CUUUGGGGGAAAGAUUUAUCGGAGAAGGAUCGGCCCGCGUUGGAUUAGGUAGUUGGUGGGGUAAUGGCCCACCAAGCCGACGAUCCAUAGCUGGUUUGAGAGGAUGAUCAGCCACACUGGGACUGAGACACGGCCCAGACUCCUACGGGAGGCAGCAGUGGGGAAUCUUAGACAAUGGGGGCAACCCUGAUCUAGCCAUGCCGCGUGAGUGAUGAAGGCCUUAGGGUUGUAAAGCUCUUUCAGCUGGGAAGAUAAUGACGGUACCAGCAGAAGAAGCCCCGGCUAACUCCGUGCCAGCAGCCGCGGUAAUACGGAGGGGGCUAGCGUUGUUCGGAAUUACUGGGCGUAAAGCGCACGUAGGCGGACCAGAAAGUUGGGGGUGAAAUCCCGGGGCUCAACCUCGGAACUGCCUUCAAAACUAUUGGUCUGGAGUUCGAGAGAGGUGAGUGGAAUUCCGAGUGUAGCGGUGAAAUGCGUAGAA
rnacentral:rRNA from 1 species